GGAGAGUUGGCAGAGUGGUAAUGCACCGGACUCGAAAUCCGGCGAGCCGAUUUAUAUUGGUGCGCAGGUUCAAAUCCUCUACUCUCCU
rnacentral:tRNA from 1 species